rnacentral:rRNA from 1 species
UACAGAGGGUGCGAGCGUUAAUCGGAGUUACUGGGCGUAAAGGGCGCGUAGGCGGAUAUAUAAGAUUGAUGUGAAAUCCCUGGGCUUAACCUAGGAGCUGCAUCGAUGACUGUGUAUCUGGAGUACUGUAGAGGGUAGUGGAAUUUCCGGUGUAGCGGUGAAAUGCGUAGAGAUCGGAAGGAACACCAGUGGCGAAGGCGGCUACCUGGACAGAUACUGACGCUGAGGCGCGAGAGCGUGGGGAGCAAACAGG